rnacentral:rRNA from 1 species
ACCGGCGCACGGGUGCGUAACGCGUAUGCAACCUACCUUUAUCUGGGGGAUAGCCCGGAGAAAUCCGGAUUAAUACCGCAUAAAAUCACAGAAUGGCAUUAUUCAAUGAUCAAACAUUAAUGGGAUAGAGAUGGGCAUGCGUGUCAUUAGCUAGUUGGCGGGGUAACGGCCCACCAAGGCGACGAUGACUAGGGGAUCUGAGAGGAUGACCCCCCACACUGGUACUGAGACACGGACCAGACUCCUACGGGAGGCAGCAGUAAGGAAUAUUGGUCAAUGGAGGCAACUCUGAACCAGCCAUGCCGCGUGCAGGACGACUGCCCUAUGGGUUGUAAACUGCUUUUAUCCGGGAAUAAACCUCCUUACGUGUAAGGAGCUGAAUGUACCGGAAGAAUAAGGAUCGGCUAACUCCGUGCCAGCAGCCGCGGUAAUACGGAGGAUCCAAGCGUUAUCCGGAUUUAUUGGGUUUAAAGGGUGCGUAGGCGGCCCGUUAAGUCAGGGGUGAAAGACGGUAGCUCAACUAUCGCAGUGCCUUUGAUACUGACGGGCUUGAAUGAACUAGAGGUAGGCGGAAUGAGACAAGUAGCGGUGAAAUGCAUAGAUAUGUCUCAGAACACCGAUUGCGAAGGCAGCUUACUAUGGUUUAAUUGACGCUGAGGCACGAAAGCGUGGGGAUCAAACAGGAUUAGA